rnacentral:rRNA from 1 species
AGAGUUUGAUCAUGGCUCAGAUUGAACGCUGGCGGCAGGCCUAACACAUGCAAGUCGAGCGGUAACAUUUCCAGCUUGCUGGAAGAUGACGAGCGGCGGACGGGUGCGUAACACGUAGGAAUCUGCCCGGUAGUGGGGGAUAGCCCGGAGAAAUCCGGAUUAAUACCGCAUACGCCCUAAGGGGGAAAGCAGGGGCUUCUUCGGAACCUUGCGCUACUGGAUGAGCCUGCGUCGGAUUAGCUUGUUGGUGGGGUAAAGGCCUACCAAGGCGACGAUCCGUAGCUGAUCUGAGAGGAUGGUCAGCCACACUGGGACUGAGACACGGCCCAGACUCCUACGGGAGGCAGCAGUGGGGAAUAUUGCACAAUGGGCGAAAGCCUGAUGCAGCCAUGCCGCGUGUGUGAAGAAGGCUCUAGGGUUGUAAAGCACUUUCAGCGAGGAGGAAAGGUUGUACGUUA